rnacentral:tRNA from 1 species
GGGUGUAUAGCUCAGUUGGUUAGAGCGCUACAUUGACAUUGUAGAGGUCUCCCGUUCGAGUCGGGAUAUACCCACUA